AACGAACGCUGGCGGCGUGCUUAACACAUGCAAGUCGAGCGAUGAAGUUCCUUCGGGAAUGGAUUAGCGGCGGACGGGUGAGUAACACGUGGGCAACCUGCCUAUAAGACUGGGAUAACUUCGGGAAACCGGAGCUAAUACCGGAUAAUUCUUUUCCUCUCAUGAGGAAAAGCUGAAAGACGGUUUCGGCUGUCACUUAUAGAUGGGCCCGCGGCGCAUUAGCUAGUUGGUGAGGUAACGGCUCACCAAGGCAACGAUGCGUAGCCGACCUGAGGGGGUGCACGGCCACACUGGGACGGAGACACAGCACAGACUCCUACGGGAGGCAGCAGUAGGGAAUCUUCCGCAAUGGACGAAAGUCUGACGGAGCAACGCCGCGGGAGUGAUGAAGGUGUUCGGAUCGUAAAACUCUGUUGUUAGGGAAGAACAAGUACGAGAGUAACUGCUCGUACCUUGACGGUACCUAACCAGAAAGCCACGGCUAACUACGUGCCAGCAGCCGCCGUAACAC
rnacentral:rRNA from 1 species